rnacentral:rRNA from 1 species
UACGGAAGGCAGCAGUGGGGAAUAUUGCACAAUGGGCGAAAGCCUGAUGCAGCUAUGCCGCGUGUAUGAAGAAGGCCUUAGGGUUGUAAAGUACUUUCAUCGGGGAGGAAAAACAAAACUAAUAAUUUUAUUUCUUGACGUUACCCGAAAAAGAAGCACCGGCUAACUCCGUGCCAGCAGCCGCGGUAAUACGGAGGGUGCUAGCGUUAAUCAGAUUACUGGGCGUAAAGAGCACGUAGGUGGUUUUUUUAAGUCAGAUGUGAAAUCCCUGGGCUUAACCUAGGAACUGCAUUUUGAAACUGAAAUACUAGAGUAUCGUAGAGGGAGGUAGAAUUCUAGGUGUAGCGGUGAAAUGCGUAGAUAUCUGGAGGAAUACCUGUGGCGAAAGCGGCCUCCUAAACGAAUACUGACACUGAGGUGCGAAAGCGUGGGGAGCAAACAGGGAUUAGAUACCCGU